ACCUGGGUGGCUCAGUGGUUGAGCGUCUGCCUUUGGCUCAGGUCAUGAUCCCGGGGUCGUGGGAUCGAGUCCCACGUUGGGCU
rnacentral:tRNA from 1 species